rnacentral:lncRNA from 1 species
GAAAUCCCAGUCAAUCAGGAAUUGUGGAAGCUGAAGUCCAAAACAUCUAGAGGAUUCGAGUUUGAUGCCCCUCCUGAAAAUUUACAUUAUGUGCUUUGAACUGGAUUAUAUGGCAGUGAAAACUAAAAUAAUCCAGUUCAAAGCAGACAACGUGGAUUAUCUGAUUUGACAACCCAAAUUAUAUUGCAGUGUAGAAAGGGCCUGAGAAACACUGCACUAAGAGAUAGAAAAAGUUGUCCAGAGAUCUGGAACAAUGGAUUGUUUGCUGCUAACAUAUUGUAUUUUGAAAGCAACUAGCGAAGGAGAAAACGUAUCAGUCUGGAUAACCUUUGCCUUUCUUCUUAUAGUUUGAUAUCUUGGGGUGGAUAUUAGACAUUUUCGGUGCUGGAGAUGAACGGGGUAGACCUCACUACUAUCCUCCUCCUCCUCCUCCUCCUAGAUUUACUGGCUUUGGCUCUCCUGGUCUCAUUGAUCCUGGCUUUUCUCCCCACUUUCGCCCUGGUUUCAAUCGCCCUCCAUUUCCAGGAUAUCCUGCAAACGAAUUUCCACCUCCUCAGGAAAAUCCAGAAAAUGUAUCCCCACCUCCUCCAGGAAAUAGUACUGUAG